GAUUCUGGCUCAGGACGAACGCUGGCGGCGUGCUUAACACAUGCAAGUCGAACGAGAAUCUGUGGAUAGAGGUUUCGGCCAAUUGAAGCAGAGGAAAGUGGCGGACGGGUGAGUAACGCGUGAGGAACCUGCCUUUCAGAGGGGGACAACAGUUGGAAACGACUGCUAAUACCGCAUGAUGCAUAGAGGUCGCAUGGCCUUUAUGCCAAAGAUUUAUCGCUGAAAGAUGGCCUCGCGUCUGAUUAGCUAGUUGGUGAGGUAACGGCCCACCAAGGCGACGAUCAGUAGCCGGACUGAGAGGUUGAACGGCCACAUUGGGACUGAGAUACGGCCCAGACUCCUACGGGAGGCAGCAGUGGGGAAUAUUGGGCAAUGGGCGCAAGCCUGACCCAGCAACGCCGCGUGAAGGAAGAAGGCUUUCGGGUUGUAAACUUCUUUUGUUGGGGACGAGUAGAAGACGGUACCUGACGAAUAAGCCACGGCUAACUACGUGCCAGCCGCCGC
rnacentral:rRNA from 1 species